UGGGGAAUAUUGCGCAAUGGGGGAAACCCUGACGCAGCGACGCCGCGUGCGGGAUGAAGGCCUUCGGGUUGUAAACCGCUUUUGAUUGGGAGCAAGCUUUCGGGUGAGUGUACCUUUCGAAUAAGCGCCGGCUAACUACGUGCCAGCAGCCGCGGUAAUACGUAGGGCGCAAGCGUUAUCCGGAAUUAUUGGGCGUAAAGCGCUGGUAGGCGGUUCGUCGCGUCUGGUGUGAAAGCCCAUCGCUUAACGGUGGGUUUGCGCCGGGUACGGGCGGGCUAGAGUGCAGUAGGGGAGACUGGAAUUCCCGGUGUAACGGUGGAAUGUGUAGAUAUCGGGAAGAAAACCAAUGGCGAAGGCAGGUCUCUGGGCUGUUACUGACGCUGAGAAGCGAAAGCGUGGGGAGCGAACAGG
rnacentral:rRNA from 1 species